rnacentral:lncRNA from 1 species
AAAUUAAAAGACUAACAAUAAAGAAAACUAACUAAAUAAUAUAAUUUAAUAAUGGAUGGGUGUUUGGUUUUGACUAGAAGUAAAUUAAACUUAAAUAAAUUACAGAAUUGACAAAAACAUGAAAUUAAGGUGAAAGGAUAAGUGAUGGAUUAGCUAGAGGGUUCUUCUCUACACAUGACACAUAUGCAACCUAAAUUGAUUUUCAGUUGUUCUUUCAAUAAGUUGUGAAUCUCAAAACUCCAGAUUAACCGUGAACAGCACUUUUUUAAUCUUCAAGUUUUCCUUAAGUUAUUGAAU